UACGGAGGAUGCGAGCGUUAUCCGGAUUUAUUGGGUUUAAAGGGUGCGCAGGCGGAAUGUCAAGUCAGCGGUAAAAUUUCGGGGCUCAACCCCGUCGUGCCGUUGAAACUGGCGUUCUUGAGUGAGCGAGAAGUAUGCGGAAUGCGUGGUGUAGCGGUGAAAUGCAUAGAUAUUAGGAGGAACACCAGUGGCGAAGGCGGCUUACUGGACUGUAACUGACGUUGAGGCUCGAAAGCGUGGGGAGCAAACAGG
rnacentral:rRNA from 1 species